rnacentral:rRNA from 1 species
UACUUACGUUUCCUCGGCGGGUCCGCCCGCCGACUGGACAAUUUAAACCCUUUGCAGUUGCAAUCAGCGUCUGAAAAACAUAAUAGUUACAACUUUCAACAACGGAUCUCUUGGUUCUGGCAUCGAUGAAGAACGCAGCGAAAUGCGAUAAGUAGUGUGAAUUGCAGAAUUCAGUGAAUCAUCGAAUCUUUGAACGCACAUUGCGCCCCUUGGUAUUCCAUGGGGCAUGCCUGUUCGAGCGUCAUUUGUACCUUCAAGCUUUGCUUGGUGUUGGGUGUUUGUCUCGCCUCUGCGUGUAGACUCGCCUUAAAACAAUUGGCAGCCGGCGUAUUGAUUUCGGAGCGCAGUACAUCUCGCGCUUUGCACUCAUAACGACGACGUCCAAAAGUACAUUUUUACACUCUUGACCUCGGAUCAGGUAGGGAUACCCGCUGAACUUAAGCAUAUCAAUAAGCGGAGGAAAAGAAACCAACAGGGAUUGCCCUAGUAACGGCGAGUGAAGCGGCAACAGCUCAAAUUUGAAAUCUGGCGUCUUUGGCGUCCGAGUUGUAAUUUGCAGAGGGCGCUUUGGCAUUGGCAGCGGUCCAAGUUCCUUGGAACAGGACGUCACAGAGGGUGAGAAUCCCGUACGUGGUCGCUAGCCUUUACCGUGUAAAGCCCCUUCGACGAGUCGAGUUGUUUGGGAAUGCAGCUCUAAAUGGGAGGUAAAUUUCUUCUAAAGCUAAAUACUGGCCAGAGACCGAUAGCGCACAAGUAGAGUGAUCGAAAGAUGAAAAGCACUUUGGAAAGAGAGUUAAAAAGCACGUGAAAUUGUUGAAAGGGAAGCGCUUGCAGCCAGACUUGCCUGUAGUUGCUCAUCCGGGUUUCUACCCGGUGCACUCUUCUAUAGGCAGGCCAGCAUCAGUUUGGGCGGUUGGAUAAAGGUCUCUGUCAUGUAC